UACAGAGGGGGCAAGCGUUGUUCGGAAUUACUGGGCGUAAAGGGCGCGUAGGCGGCCUGUUAAGUCGAACGUGAAAUCCCCGGGCUCAACCCGGGAACUGCGUCCGAGACUGGCAGGCUCGAAUCCGGGAGAGGGAUGUGGAAUUCCAGGUGUAGCGGUGAAAUGCGUAGAUAUCUGGAGGAACAUCGGUGGCGAAGGCGGCAUCCUGGACCGGUAUUGACGCUGAGGCGCGAAAGCCAGGGGAGCAAACGGG
rnacentral:rRNA from 1 species